GUCUACAGCUAUACCACCCUGACUGUGCCUGAUCUUGUCUGAUCUCGGAAGCUAAGCAGGGUCAGACCUAGUUAGUACUUGGAUGGGAGGUA
rnacentral:rRNA from 1 species